rnacentral:rRNA from 1 species
UUUAAACUAACCUUGACAAAGUAAUAGAAAAAGUAAAAGCUAAUAUACGUUUAAACCUACUUUUACCGCUUUAACUUUUAUCAAGGAGAUUUUUGGUUGGGGCAACCGCGAAGAAAAAUAAACCUUCGCCAUAAAAAAAAGACCUGACAAGUCUAAGAACUAACAAAUAGCUUUAACAAAUGAUCCGGUAAAGCCGACCAUGGAAAAAAGUUACCGCAGGGAUAACAGCGUUAUUCUUUCUGAGAGCUCUAAUUGACGAAAGAGUUUGCGACCUCGAUGUUGGACCGGGGCACCCAAGAGGUGCAGCAGCCUCUAAUGGUAGGUCUGUUCGACCUUUAAAGCCCUACGUGAUCUGAGUUCAGACCGACGCAAGU